rnacentral:lncRNA from 1 species
UCGCUUCACUGGGGUGGAGUUAGUGGAUAAAAGGCAGAGAGCUGAGCUGGGAAAUGACUUCCCGUCCCUUCUGCCCUCACAGAGUGCUCCUUAGUCUUCUGUGUGGUUCAAGUCAGCUGCCAUCCCGUAAGAAAGAGAAACCAGACACGAGAAGUUCAGCGUAUUACAGGACGACCACAACACAGUGGUGGCGGCAAGGAAAAACAAAUCACCACAAUGAACAACAACAUCAUCCCUGCCCUGAAAAGGAUCGUAAGCCUCUCACCAGAUGCUGUGAAUCCCGAACUCACAGAUUCCCAUAAGCAGAGGAUCUACUUUAACACGUCCCGAGGGUGGGUUGACAUACGAACCACACAGCCAAACAACUGAAGGCAGCUGAAGAAAACGCCAAUGAAGAGAGUUCUGCAGAACAUGUUCACUUAGUGGAAACAGUAAGACGUGUGCGUGCCCACAGACACACGCAGAAGGACUGGCAUCACCAAAAACAAUAAACCCUAAAGUCAGAUCCA